GAAUAUUGGACAAUGGGCGCAACUCUGAACCAGCCAUGCCGCGUGCAGGAUGACUGCCCUAUGGGUUGUAAACUGCUUUUAUAUGCCAAGAACCCCCCUGAUUCAUCAGGGGCUGACGGUAGCAUACGAAUAAGCACCGGCCAACCCCGUGCCCGCACCCGCGGUAAUACGGAGGGUGCAAGCGUUAUCCGGAUUUAUUGGGUUUAAAGGGUCCGUAGGCGGGGUCUUAAGUCAGUGGUGAAAGCCUGCAGCUCAACUGUAGAAUUGCCAUUGAAACUGGGGUCCUUGAAUAUAAUUGAAGUUAGCGGAAUGUGUCAUGUAGCGGUGAAAUGCAUAGAUAUGACACAGAACACCGAUUGCGAAGGCAGCUAACUAAGUUAUGAUUGACGCUGAGGGACGAAAGCGUGGGGAGCGAACAGG
rnacentral:rRNA from 1 species